ACUGAGGAAAUUUAGAGAAGGAUCCACAUUCAGGAUGGAUUCCAGGUUCAGAAGGAAGAAGGAUGUGGUUUACAGACUGAGGAGCAGAAUACCAAAAGGAGGAAACUGAGGCCCCAGAAAAAUUUUCAGUUUUCAGUUGGAACUUCCUAAGCAAUAUAAAGGGCAGGAUCAGAGAUCAUGCUCUGCUAGUUCAUGCUAGCUUCAUUUGCAUUAAGUUUGGUGGCUUUUUUCUUUUUAAAAUUAAAUUAAAAUUUUUUAAAUCUUAUUUUGAUCAUGUUGGAGAUUCUUAAUUAGUUGCUUAUGCAUAUUUAAUUUACACAUCAAGACUAAUUAGUUGCAUUUAGAAUCCUAGUUUUGGAGCUCAAGGGCAUUUUGUUUAAACCUCUAAUUUUACAAAUAAAGAAACUGAGAUUGAGAAA